UACGUAGGGGGCUAGCGUUGUCCGGAAUCAUUGGGCGUAAAGAGCGUGUAGGCGGCUCAGUAAGUCCGCUGUGAAAGUCCAGGGCUCAACCCUGGAAUGCCAGUGGAAACUGUUGAGCUAGAGUCCGGAAGAGGCGAGUGGAAUUCCUGGUGUAGCGGUGAAAUGCGCAGAUAUCAGGAGGAACACCAAUGGCGAAGGCAGCUCGCUGGGACGGUACUGACGCUGAGGCGCGAAAGCCAGGGGAGCAAACGGGG
rnacentral:rRNA from 1 species